rnacentral:rRNA from 1 species
GACGAACGCUGGCGGCGUGCUUAACACAUGCAAGUCGAACGGAAAGGCCCUGCUUUUGUUGGGUGCUCGAGUGGCGAACGGGUGAGUAACACGUGAGUAACCUGCCCUUGACUUUGGGAUAACUUCAGGAGACUGGGGCUAAUACCGGAUAUGAGCUCCUGCUGCAUGGUGGGGGUUGGAAAGUUUCGGCGGUUGGGGAUGGAUUCGCGGCUUAUCAGCUUGUUGGUGGGGUAGUGGCUUACCAAGGUUUUGACGGGUAGCCGGCCUGAGAGGGUGACCGGCCACAAUGGGACUGAGGGACGGACCAGACUGCUACGGGAGGCAGCAGUGGGGAAUAUGGCACAAUGGGCGGAAGCCUGAUGCAGCAACGCCGCGUGCGGGAUGACGGCUUACGGGUUGUAAACCGCUUUCGCAUGUGACGAAGCGUGAGUGACGGUAAUGGGUAAAGAAGCACCGGCUAACUACGUG